CAAUGUUUAUCGAGUGGGAAAAGGCUUGCCAGUUUCGCUUCGACCGCUGUGUCGUGUGGAUGGAGAAUUUAUUCGUAUUCAAUCUCGAAUAUAAUUUAAAGUUGCACAUAUAUUUCAUCAAUUUAUAUGCGUUUUAUAAUAUUUAUACAAUGUAUAUUUAUUCGCGAGUGUAACAAUUUUGCGUUCUUUCUAUUUAUAAGCGUUGAUACAUUUCAAAUUUUUUAUGAAUGAAUAAGAAGCUGUUACUACAAAUAAGGUGGUCGCCAUUAGUCCGAGUUUUCCACGGGAACGAAGCAGGGGUUCGUUUCUUCGCCGGGAUAAUUAUUGAAUGUAGCAUGGAGAAGACUUUGGAGAAGAGAGACCUCAUAACUUAUAUCUUAAUGAGCUUACGCUGCUUGCGAUGUUUUAAUGAAUACUAAUGAACUCGAAAAUUUUUCUCAUCCCAAAGGGAAAAGUCCGGAUCCGUCCGAAGUUUUUUAACCGAGAAUAAUUGGUCUUAUUCUUGGCCGAAAGAUUUAUAGAUGGAAAAAAGAAGAGAGCGAAGCAA